rnacentral:misc_RNA from 1 species
AGAACACAUAUUUAUACAUUUUGGUACAAAGGGAAUUGGAUACAUGAAGUUUUGUUCACAAAUAACAUUUGAAAUGAUGGAAGAAUGUCUCCCCGAAAAUGAUACAUAAAAAAAAAAUUAAGAACAAGCUUGUGAUCAACUCUCCAGGCAUCUAUUUGAUAAAAGAUGUUACAUCAAUCUAGAUGGUCUAAGCAAUAGCCUUGAUUCUUUAUGGUUUUAUGAAGAAUUGCCAGGGUCAAUAGGGCUGAUGAUGGAAUUUGUUUUGUGCAGAUGAUGCAAGGCUGGUGUAUUCUG